rnacentral:rRNA from 1 species
CCUACGGGUGGCAGCAGUGAGGAAUAUUGGUCAAUGGACGAAAGUCUGAACCAGCCAAGUAGCGUGAAGGAUGACUGCCCUAUGGGUUGUAAACUGCUUUUAUGUGGGAAUAAAACGUUCCACGUGUGGGGUUUUGUAUGUACCGUAUGAAUAAGGAUCGGCUAACUCCGUGCCAGCAGCCGCGGUAAUACGGAGGAUCCGGGCGUUAUCCGGAUUUAUUGGGUUUAAAGGGAGCGUAGGUGGAUUGUUAAGUGUGUUGUGAAAGUUUGUGGCUCAACCGUAGAAUUGCAGUUGAAACUGGCAGUCUUGAGUACAGUGAAGGUGGGCGGAAUUCGUGGUGUAGCGGUGAAAUGCUGAGAUAUCACGAAGAACUCCGAUUGCGAAGGCAGUUCACUGGACUGCAACUGACACUGAGGCUCGAAAGUGUGGGUAUCAAACAGGAUUAGAUACCCUUGUAGUC